UCAACAUCUGGCACCGUCUAUGGGAAAUGACACGAAAAGCUAAGUCGAUUCUUUUUCAUUUUCUCAUCUCACCACCGCGAAACCUCACCACAACCUUCACCGGAAAUAUGCAGAAACCCAAGUACCAAACAACCCAACACCCUCAAGCAGAGACACACACAUUUUACACUAUUCCCAAUAGCAUCCAACAUUGGACUCCAUAAAUCUCUAUCCCUCUCUGCAACUUCUCUCUGCUGCUGGAGUAGAUAAUACUUACAGAAGGAAAUUUGAUCGAGAAGAGUUCUUGGAACCGAGCUCGUGAGCAUGAAAGACAGUAGGAGGAGGGAGGACCGCAUAAAUCCAAAUCAAAAGGCCCGCCAGUGCAAAGGAAGUCAUUAAAGGCAAGGAGCUAGGUUGACCGUAUCUCCCCAGCAGCCUCAUCUUCCUUCCACUACCAAAUCUGACUGAAACCGAGAUCGAGAUAGAGGCAAGGAGCUGGAAGUAAAAGUCCUAGCAGUCCCCCGUGAAGAUCCCCCAUGUCGCCACAACUCUUAAGCUCCUGUGGCAUCAAUUAUGCUCCCAAGCUCCUGUAGAUCUCGACGUGGAGUCAGUGAAGUCACUUAGAUCAGAUCUGAAGAAGCAGAGCGGGGUGGCGCUGAACCUGCAGAUGGACA
rnacentral:lncRNA from 1 species